GAUGAACGCUGGCGGCGUGCCUAAUACAUGCAAGUCGAGCGAACGGACGAGAAGCUUGCUUCUCUGAUGUUAGCGGCGGACGGGUGAGUAACACGUGGAUAACCUACCUAUAAGACUGGGAUAACUUCGGGAAACCGGAGCUAAUACCGGAUGAUAUUUUGAACCGCAUGGUUCAAAAGUGAAAGACGGUCUUGCUGUCACUUAUAGAUGGAUCCGGGCUGCAUUAGCUAGUUGGUAAGGUAACGGCUUACCAAGGCAACGAUGCAUAGCCGACCUGAGAGGGUGAUCGGCCACACUGAAACUGAGACACGGUCCAGACUCCUACGGAAGGCAGAAGUAGGGAAUCUUCCGCAAUGGGCGAAAGCCUGACGGAGCAACGCCGCGUGAGUGAUGAAGGUCUUCGGAUCGUAAAACUCUGUUAUUAGGGAAGAACAUAUGUGUAAGUAACUGUGCACAUCUGGACGGUACAUAAUCAGAAGGCCACGGCUAACUACGG
rnacentral:rRNA from 1 species